rnacentral:rRNA from 1 species
AUUGAACGCUGGCGGCAGGCUUAACACAUGCAAGUCGAACGAGUGGCGGACGGGUGAGUAAUGAUUGGGAAUCUAGCUUAUGGAGGGGGAUAACUACGGGAAACUGAUGCUAAUACCGCGUACAAUAGGAUGAGCCCAAGUUGGAUUAGGUAGUUGGUGAGGGAAAGGCUCACCAAGCAGACGAUCUCUAGCUGGUCUGAGAUGAUGACCAGCCACCCUGGGACUGAGACACGGCCCAGACUCCUACGGGAGGCAGCAGUGGGGAAUAUUGCGCAAUGGGGGCAACCUGACGCAGCCAUGCCGCUUGAGUGAAGAAGGCCUUCGGGUUGUAAAGUUCUUUCGGUAGCGAGGCGUUAACUACAGAAGAAGCACCGGCUAACUCCGUGCCAGCAGCCGCGGUAAUUC